CCUACGGGGGGCAGCAGUGAGGAAUAUUGGUCAAUGGGCGCGAGCCUGAACCAGCCAAGUAGCGUGAAGGAUGACUGCCCUACGGGUUGUAAACUUCUUUUAUAAAGGAAUAAAGUGAGGCACGUGUGCCUUUUUGUAUGUACUUUAUGAAUAAGGAUCGGCUAACUCCGUGCCAGCAGCCGCGGUAAUACGGAGGAUCCGAGCGUUAUCCGGAUUUAUUGGGUUUAAAGGGAGCGUAGAUGGGUUGUUAAGUCAGUUGUGAAAGUUUGCGGCUCAACCGUAAAAUUGCAAUUGAUACUGGCAGUCUUGAGUACAGUUGAGGUAGGCGGAAUUCGUGGUGUAGCGGUGAAAUGCUUAGAUAUCACGAAGAACUCCGAUUGCGAAGGCAGCUUACCGGCGCCCGACUGACGCUGAUGCACGAAAGCGUGGGUAUCAAACGGGAUUAGAUACCCGAGUAGUC
rnacentral:rRNA from 1 species